CCUACGGGAGGCAGCAGUGAGGAAUAGUGGUCAAUGGGCGAGAGCCGGAACCAGCCAAGUAGCGUGAAGGAUGACUGCCCUACGGGUUGUAAACUUCUUUUAUAAAGGAAUAAAGUGAGGCACGUGUGCCGUUUUGUAUGUACCUUAUGAAUAAGGAUCGGCUAACUCCGUGCCAGCAGCCGCGGUAAUACGGAGGAUCCGAGCGUUAUCCGGAUUUAUUGGGUUUAAAGGGAGCGUAGAUGGGUUGGUAAGUCAGUUGUGAAAGUUUGCGGCUCAACCGUAAAAUUGCAAUUGAUACGGGCAGUCUUGAGUACAGUUGCGGUAGGCGGAAUUCGUGGUGUCGCGG
rnacentral:rRNA from 1 species